rnacentral:rRNA from 1 species
UACGGAGGGAGCUAGCGUUGUUCGGAUAUACUGGGCGUAAAGCGCACGUAGGCGGCGCAGCAAGUCAGGGGUGAAAUCCCGGAGCUCAACUCCGGAACUGCCCUUGAAACUGCAGUGCUAGAAUCCUGGAGAGGCGAGUGGAAUUCCGAGUGUAGAGGUGAAAUUCGAUAGAUAUUGGAAGAACACCAGUGGCGAAGGCGACUCGCUGGACAGGUAUUGACGCUGAGGUGCGAAAGCGUGGGAGCAAACAGGG